rnacentral:lncRNA from 1 species
GCCUUUGGUUUGCAUACAGAGUCUGCCCUAAAUUCUCCAAGAAUUGGAAGUCCACUGCGUCCAAAGAAAUAUACUGAAACAAAUAAUCUUCAGGCAAUGCCUAGAGAUGUGUCUACCAGUUUCUCUGACUUGGACUAGAGCCUUGGAUAAAAGUAAAAAAGAGACAUUGUCCAUUUCCAGUGAAAUUGAAGGACUCAACACCAGUAUCUGAUGAUGUAUCAAGUCAACUAUAUCCUCCAGAAGAACAGGAAGAACUUGAUUUUUUAUUUGAUGAACAGACGCAACAAAUAGAAGAAAAAGAAACACAUUUACUGAUUGGUCUCGUAAUGAUUCAGAUUAUGAAAUUGAUGAGCUGAAUUUCAACAAGAUGUUGAUUUGAACUCAGCUAUCAUUUUACCUGAGAAAACAUCCUGGAUAAGAUCAAACAGGCAACCACAGGUUUCAGGCAAAAAUGGCCUAUGUCAUUAUGAAUAAGACUUGUGGAUGGAAGAGGAUGAAAACAAACAUACAGCCAUAAAG